rnacentral:rRNA from 1 species
CGCACGCUGGCGGCAGGCUUAACACAUGCAAKUCGAGCGCCCCGCAGGGGAGCGGCAGACGGGUGAGUAACGCGUGGGAACGUACCAUUUGCUACGGAAUAACUCAGGGAAACUUGUGCUAAUACCGUAUGUGCCCUUCGGGGGAAAGAUUUAUCGGCAAAUGAUCGGCCCGCGUUGGAUUAGCUAGUUGGUGGGGUAAAGGCUCACCAAGGCGACGAUCCAUAGCUGGUCUGAGAGGAUGAUCAGCCACACUGGGACUGAGACACGGCCCAGACUCCUACGGGAGGCAGCAGUGGGGAAUAUUGGACAAUGGGCGCAAGCCUGAUCCAGCCAUGCCGCGUGAGUGAUGAAGGCCCUAGGGUUGUAAAGCUCUUUCACCGGUGAAGAUAAUGACGGUAACCGGAGAAGAAGCCCCGGCUAACUUCGUGCCAGCAGCCGCGGUAAUA